GCCGGAUUUAUUAUAUGGACGUGGAACUAUGUAUCUGCACUGCGCUCUACUAGCAUUCCAAGAAUACUAAGUGCUUCAACAAAAGCGGCUUCUUUUUCCAACUACAUCAUGUGACCUGUAUAGGCAUUGUCCAUCCCGAUUAGGAAUAUAAAUGAACUACCCGAUGAUCUCAACAGCGCAACAUCUGCAUAACCUCUGCGUGGUGGUAUACCACUCGUAGCAAGGAAAUCGUGCAUGAUACCGGCGUGUGAUUUGAUUCCCAAAUAGACUGGCCGCUGGGACCAUGAAUUACACAUUUGGUUUGGUUUGGUUUGGUCCCAGUCCAUUUCUUGGCAUGAUUUUAGUGGGACCAGGACCAGAAUGGGGAGUGUAAAGUGACUAGAAUUAUCAAAACAUGAGUGAAAUGGGACUAAAAAAUCUUGAUAUUCCAUGUAAAGUGAC
rnacentral:sRNA from 2 species